rnacentral:rRNA from 9 species
CGCGUCGAUGAGGACCGCAGCGAGGGCAGUAGCAGAGGCAGUGCCAACGGCAGCGUCAUCAGCGUUUUUUUGAAUAUUCUUGGUGGGAAA